rnacentral:rRNA from 1 species
GAUGAACGCUAGCGGGAGGCUUAACACAUGCAAGUCGAGGGGCAUCUCUGGUAGCAAUACUGGAGGCGACCGGCGUACGGGUGAGUAACGCGUAUGUAACCUACCCUUUACCGGGGGAUAGCUCCCGGAAACGGGAAUUAAUACCCCAUGAGGUUUCGGAGGCGCAUGCUUUCGGGAUCAAAGCUACGGCGGUAAAGGAUGGGCAUGCGUAGCAUUAGGUAGUUGGUGGGGUAAAGGCUUACCAAGCCUGCGAUCUGUAGCUGGUCUGAGAGGAUGAUCAGCCACACUGGGACUGAGACACGGCCCAGACUCCUACGGGAGGCAGCAGUGGGGAAUUUUGGACAAUGGGCGCAAGCCUGAUCCAGCCAUUCCGCGUGCAGGACGAAGGCCUUCGGGUUGUAAACUGCUUUUGUACGGAACGAAAGCCCUUCUCCUAAUACAGAGGGUCAUGACGGUACCGUAAGAAUAAGCACCGGCUAACUACGUG